AAAGUUGUGCUAAAGUGCUUAUAGUGCAGGUAGUUUUUUGUGUAUUCUACUGCAUUAAGAGCACUUAAAGUACUUCUAG
rnacentral:pre_miRNA from 1 species